rnacentral:rRNA from 1 species
GACGAACGCUGGCGGCGUGCUUAACACAUGCAAGUCGAACGGAAAGGCCCCUUUGGGGGUACUCGAGUGGCGAACGGGUGAGUAACACGUGAGUAACCUGCCCUUGACUUCGGGAUAACUUCAGGAAACUGGGGCUAAUACCGGAUAGGCAUCCUUGCUGCAUGGUGGGGGUUGGAAAGCUUCGGCGGUGUUGGAUGGACUCGCGGCUUAUCAGCUUGUUGGUGGGGUAGUGGCUUACCAAGGCUUUGACGGGUAGCCGGGCUGAGAGGGCGACCGGCCACAUUGGGACUGAGAUACGGCCCAGACCCCUACGGGAGGCAGCAGUGGGGAAUAUUGCACAAUGGGCGGAAGCCGGAUGCAGCAACGCCGCGGGCGGGAUGACGGCCUUCGGGUUGUAAACCGCUUGCAGCAGGGGCGAAGCUUGUGGUGACGGUACCUGCAGAAGAAGCACCGGCUAACUACGUG